GCGCCGGUGGUGUAAGGCGGAAAGCAUCGCCGCCCGGAAAGCAGAUGGUGCGGGUUCGAGUCCUGCCUAGCGCA
rnacentral:tRNA from 1 species